UACGUAGGGUGCAAGCGUUUGUCCGGAAUUAUUGGGCGUAAAGAGCUCGUAGGCGGUUUGUCGCGUCUGCUGUGAAAACCCGAGGCUCAACCUCGGGCCUGCAGUGGGUACGGGCAGACUAGAGUGGCGGUAGGGGAGAUUGGAAUUCCUGGUGUAGCGGUGGAAUGCGCAGAUAUCAGGAGGAACACCAACGGCGAAAGCACUCUGCUGGGCCGACACUGACACUGAGAGACGAAAGCUAGGGGAGCGAAUGGG
rnacentral:rRNA from 1 species